rnacentral:tRNA from 1 species
GGGCGGUUAGCUCAGCUGGGAGAGCGUCGGCCUUACAAGCCGAAAGUCAUAGGUUCGAUCCCUGUACCGCCCACCA